AUUUUUCAGUCUGAGCCUUUUUUCAGUGCUGUAAGAAAGGACGGAGGCUGUUAUCUAUGGCAGAUCUAUCCAAUAAAGGAGAGAAAGGACCGCAUACGCCUGGUUCUCAUCAUAUGCAAUAAAGAGUUUGACCAUCUGCCUCCAAGAAAUGGGGCUGACUUUGCCAUCAUGGAGAUGAAGAAGCUGCUUGAGGAUCUGGGUUACAGUGUGGAUGUAGAAGAGAAUCUGACAGCCAGGAUAACGUGUCCAGGAGAGACAGCACAAGGGGCUCCAUCUUCAUCACACAACUCAUCGCAUGCUUCCAGAGAUAUUCCUGGCGCUGCCACCUAGAGGAAGUAUUUUGGAAGGUUCAGCAAGCAUUUGAAAGUCCGGAGGCAACAGUCCAAAUGCCCACCAUAGAACGAGUGUCCAUGACAAGAUAUUUCUACCUCUUUCCUGGCAAUUGAAAAUGGUUAAGCAUUGAGAGUUGUUGGUGGUGUAUGAAAUAAAUGAAAGUGUGAUAUUGGAGCAGGAAACCACAAGCAGCCCAGCCCUCCUUUAUCAACUUCAAGAAACACCUUUACUAGUACAGAUUGAAUGCUUAACAUUUUGUAUUUCAAUAAAGGUGAAGACAAAUGAA